rnacentral:rRNA from 1 species
GAUGAACGCUGGCGGCGUGCCUCAAACAUGCAAGUCGAGCGGGGCUAUGUAAUAUCGCAAGGUAGAACAUAGCCUAGCGGCGAACGGGUGAGUAACACGUGGGUAACCUGCCUGGAAGACAGGGAUAACGAUUCGAAAGGGUCGCUAAUACCUGAUAAUAUCCUUUCAUCGCAUGGUGAUAGGAAGAAAGGGGAAACCCGCUUUCAGAUGGGCCCGUGUCCCAUCAGCUAGUUGGUAAGGUAAAGGCUUACCAAGGCGACGACGGGUAGCCGGUCUGAGAGGAUGUACGGCCACACUGGGACUGAGAUACGGCCCAGACUCCUACGGGAGGCAGCAGUUGGGAAUCUUAGGCAAUGGACGAAAGUCUGACCUAGCGACGCCGCGUGAGGGAAGAAGGCCUUCGGGUUGUAAACCUCUGUCAUGGGGGAAGAAGUAAGUGACGGUACCCCAAGAGGAAGCCCCUGACUAACUACGUGCCAGCAGCCGCGGUAAUGAAGUAGUACA